AACGAACGCUGGCGGCAUGCCUAACACAUGCAAGUCGAACGCCCCGCAAGGGGAGUGGCGAACGGGUGAGUAACGCGUGGGAACCUACCCAGCAGUUGGGGAUAACCGCGGGAAACUGCGGCUAAUACCGAAUACGUCCUUAGGGAGAAAGAUUUAUCGCUGUUGGAGGGGCCCGCGUCGGAUUAGCUAGUUGGUGAGGUAACGGCUCACCAAGGCAUCGAUCCGUAGCUGGUCUGAGAGGAUGAUCAGCCACACUGGGACUUAGACACGGCCCAGACUCCUACGGGAGGCAGCAGUGGGGAAUAUUGGACAAUGGGGGCAACCCUGAUCCAGCAAUGCCGCGUGAGUGAUGAAGGCCUUAGGGUUGUAAAGCUCUUUUGCCGGGGACGAUGAUGACGGUACCCGGAGAAUAAGCCCCGGCUAACUUCGUGCCAGCCGCCGCCGUAAUAC
rnacentral:rRNA from 1 species